rnacentral:rRNA from 1 species
CCUACGGGAGGCAGCAGUGAGGAAUAUUGGUCAAUGGGCGCGAGCCUGAACCAGCCAAGUCGCGUGAGGGAAGACGGUCCUAUGGAUUGUAAACCUCUUUUGUCGGGGAGCAAAAGACGCCACGCGUGGCGUUCCGAGAGUACCCGAAGAAAAAGCAUCGGCUAACUCCGUGCCAGCAGCCGCGGUAAUACGGAGGAUGCGAGCGUUAUCCGGAUUUAUUGGGUUUAAAGGGUGCGAAAGCGGAAGAUCAAGUCAGCGGUAAAAUUGAGGGGCUCAACCUCUUCGAGCCGUUGAAACUGGUUGUCUUGAGUGAACGAGAGGUAUGCGGAAUGCGUGGUGUAGCGGUGAAAUGCAUAGAUAUCACGCAGAACUCCGAUUGCGAAGGCAGCAUACCGGCGCUCAACUGACGCUCAUGCACGAAAGUGUGGGUAUCGAACAGGAUUAGAUACCCCAGUAGUC